GACUCUGAGUUCGUCCCCCAAGCCAGGCCCAGUCAGUCUCGGAGACCUUCUUGUCAGGAAAUCAAGCAGGACUUCUGCAACCUGCCCACAGUCCUGCUCUGAACAGAUGGGGGAGUCUGGACUUCCUCCCCCGAGUCCCCUUGGCCUUCAUUUCACCCAGCCUCUCCCACUGCCAGGGGUUCAGAGCCUGGGCUUGGUUUCCACAUGUCACAAUCUGGGAUCCUUGCUCUAGCACAUGCUUGCCAUGUGGCACCUGACUUCCAAUUCCCUUACCUGCUCGUGAGGACCCUCGGGAAGAACUGAAUGGAGACUGGUGUACGGGAAGGGCCCUGCUUUCCAGUACUCAGCAAGCCCAUCUGCUGGUGGUCUCCUCCUUGUCGCCCCCUCCUCAGGUCUCAAUAAAAGCUCUCAGCCCUCA